rnacentral:rRNA from 1 species
UACGAGGGGGGCGAGCGUUGUUCGGAAUUAUUGGGCGUAAAGCGCGCGCAGGCGGUGCGGUAAGUCUGUCGUGAAAUCUCCCGGCUCAACUGGGAGGGUGCGGUGGAGACUGCCGGACUGGAGGCACUCAGAGGCCGGUGGAAUUCCCGGUGUAGUGGUGAAAUGCGUAGAGAUCGGGAGGAACACCAGUGGCGAAGGCGGCCGGCUGGGGGUGACCUGACGCUGAGGCGCGAAAGCUAGGGGAGCAAACAGG